ACAGCAGUCAUUUCUUUAAAUGUCUAUCGUAGUUUUAAAACCAGAAAUUGCAAAUCAAGACGAGAAGAUUUCUUGAAAUUGUUUAGAUCAUUAUAAAUGCUGAACAUGUGCACAGUUAUACUUAUAGAAUACAAUAUGGAUAUUGUUUUGAAUAGCAGAAAAUAUCAAUUUCAAUCAAUAAAAAUUUAAUAAAAUAAUGAGAAUGCUUUUGUCAUUUUAUAAAAUGUAUGAGCUACGAAUCGUUUGAAAAACUUGAUAUCAACUUACAUCACUUGGCGACCCUCUCAAAAUGAAGCGCAUCAACAGAUGUUCUGUAUGGUUAACAAUAAAACAAAAAUAAGCUGGCAAUUUGUUAAAGUUGAAGGUUUGGCGUUGUGGGCUUGUCAACGGAUCGUGCUCUUGAUCUUUCUGCUUGAUUAAACUUGAAAUUUGUUGUAUUGCAA